UACGAAGGGGGCUAGCGUUGUUCGGACUUACUGGGCGUAAAGCGCGCGUAGGCGGUUUUGCAAGCCAGAGGUGAAAUGCCUGAGCUCAACUUAGGAAUUGCCUUUGGGACUGCGAGGCUUUGAGGACUGGAGAGGUGAGUGGAAUUCCCAGUGUAGAGGUGAAAGUCGUAGAUAUGGGGAAGAACACCGGUGGCGAAGGCGGCUCACUGGCCCGUAACUGACGCUCAGGCGCGAUAGCGUGGGGAUCAAACAGG
rnacentral:rRNA from 1 species